CCUACGGGGGGCUGCAGUGGGGAAUAUUGGACAAUGGGGGGAACCCUGAUCCAGCCAUGCCGCGUGUGUGAAGAAGGCCCUCGGGUUGUAAAGCACUUUCAGUGAGGAAGAACGCCUGGUGGUUAAUACCCAUCAGGAAAGACAUCACUCACAGAAGAAGCACCGGCUAACUCCGUGCCAGCAGCCGCGGUAAUACGGAGGGUGCGAGCGUUAAUCGGAAUUACUGGGCGUAAAGCGCGCGUAGGUGGCUUGAUAAGCCGGUUGUGAAAGCCCCGGGCUCAACCUGAGAACGGCAUCCGGAACUGUCAAGCUAGAGUGCAGGAGAGGAAGGUAGAAUUCCCGGUGUAGCGGUGAAAUGCGUAGAGAUCGGGAGGAAUACCAGUGGCGAAGGCGGCCUUCUGGACUGACACUGACACUGAGGUGCGAAAGCGUGGGUAGCAAACAGGAUUAGAUACCCCUGUAGUC
rnacentral:rRNA from 1 species